rnacentral:lncRNA from 1 species
GUGAAGGGCCUGGAACACAAGUCCUGUGAGGAGUGGCUGAGGGAACUCAGAUUUUUUGGUCUGGAGAAGAGGAGGCUCAGGGGAGACCUUAUUCCUCUCUACAGCUACCUGGAAGAGUGGGGGGCCUGGAGGUUGUCCUCUUCUCACAGGUAACUAGUGAAAGGACUAGAGGAAAUGGCCUCAAGUUGUGCCAGGGGAGGUUUAGGUUGGAAAUGAAGAGCCAUUUCUUCUCAGAAAGAGCAGUCAGGCAUUGGAACGGUUUGCCCAGGGAGGUGGUGGAAUCAUCAUCCCUGGGGGUAUGAAACCAUAUUUAUUUUUCUUUUUUAUUUUCUUCUUUAUUUCUUUGUUUCUUUUUUUUUUUUUUUUUUUUUGAGAAAAUGAUAAAGUCACCAGCAGAUAGGCAGAACAAAGGCAGGACCUUCUAGGUCCUUACUGGGUGUUGGAGCACUAUCCCUGUUCCUUCCCACUAGCAAGCCCUCUGGCUGUGUUGGUCCCAGGCCUCACAUAAACUGACCAUUUUUGAUACAUGCAUAGAAGAAUCUCUUGCAACAAAUCAAUAUACAGAUAAAGUGUUCAUAUGUGCAUAACUACUGUAGUGUCAAUUCUCCUUUUAGUUUUUAUGCUGUAUUAUGAUGUGUCAACAAAUACAGGUUAUACAAGAAUUCUGAGCUCCGAGGCUGCAGUGUACAGUGCUGUAUUGCUAAACUUAUAGUUAUUUUUCCCUUAUUAAGCUUUCCUAGGAAGCAGCUAGCUGAUUUAUUGACAGCAAAGUGUCAGAAAAAGGUAACCUCCUCCUCCAGUGUGUCCUCCCUGAUGUUCCUUUUUCAUGAACUGUUAUCAAACCUAAACCAAAACAGUUCCUAAAACCAUUACCACCCACUUCUGUUUGCUCUGGAUGGGAGGGAAAGUGAAUCCCACUGAAGAGAAGAUUAUGCUGAAGAUGAUGUCUUCGCUGAAGAGUAAUUACUUUAAAUUGUGCCAAGUGGCAAGCAAAGAGCUUGCUAAAGUUUUCUGUCAGCUGAGAAUUUUGCACUGCAGCUCUAUUGUAGCAGCAUUUACAGCCAUUGUGAGGUUCUCAAGAAGGAGGAUGCCUUCCCCUCUGACUCCAUCAUCUUCACAUGCAGCCCUUUCUGCAGAUUCCUUACGUUGA